rnacentral:lncRNA from 1 species
UCCAUUUUGAGACCUUGACCAAAAUCCUGAAAUUGAAAUUGUUCACUCAAGCUUGACACUCAAGUCAUCAAAAUUAGAAAGUUAUCUGGCCCUAAUAAGAAAGAGUUCAGGUGAAAGACUCAUGGACAUGGAAAUAAAUGAUUAAAUGCAGUGUGAAAACAGAGGAGGGUACGCAGAGAGAUCUGCAGGGACAGACAUGAGAGAACAGCAAUACGAGACGGCCAAAGCCCAGAUGUGGUUCUUUAGUCCUUCUGACUCACUCUAGGCUUUAAACAACAGGCUGCUGGAAAUAUUCUUAAGGAAGAAGCUGAUCUUGUCUGUACUACAUCCAAAGAUUGUUCAUACCGCUUUCAAAUAGUCCUGAUGUAUAGACUUGGGCAGAUUAUGGCUUAUGCUUUAAAAGGACUGAAUAGAUAGACUGUUCUAAAAUUAACCAAUGAACAGAAUAUUUGCUUCCCAAAACUCAUUUUGGAAUUACAUCUGCAAAUAAACAAAUUUAAAACAUUGGUUUUACAAAUUUUAAGCAAAUAAAUGAAAAAGUCUCAAUUAAAAC